UGGGGAAUAUUGCACAAUGGGCGCAAGCCUGAUGCAGCCAUGCCGCGUGUAUGAAGAAGGCCUUCGGGUUGUAAAGUACUUUCAGUCGGGAGGAAGGUGGUAAGGUUAAUAACCUUAUCAAUUGACGUUACCGACAGAAGAAGCACCGGCUAACUCCGUGCUAGCAGCCGCGGUAAUACGGAGGGUGCAAGCGUUAAUCGGAAUUACUGGGCGUAAAGCGCACGCAGGCGGUUGAUUGAGUCAGAUGUGAAAUCCCCGGGCUUAACCCGGGAAUUGCAUCUGAUACUGGUCAGCUAGAGUCUUGUAGAGGGGGGUAGAAUUCCAUGUGUAGCGGUGAAAUGCGUAGAGAUGUGGAGGAAUACCGGUGGCGAAGGCGGCCCCCUGGACAAAGACUGACGCUCAGGUGCGAAAGCGUGGGGAGCAAACAGG
rnacentral:rRNA from 1 species